rnacentral:rRNA from 1 species
CUACGGAGGGUGCGAGCGUUACUCGGAGUCACUGGGCGUAAAGCGUCCGUAGGCGGUCGGGUAAGUCGGGUGUGAAAGCCCCGGGCUCAACCUGGGAAGUGCACCCGAUACUGCUCGACUCGAGUGCGGGAGAGGAUGGCGGAAUUCCCGGUGUAGCGGUGAAAUGCGUAGAGAUCGGGAGGAACACCAGUGGCGAUGGCGGCCAUCUGGCCCGCAACUGACGCUGAGGGACGAAAGCGUGGGGAGCAAACAGGAUUAGAAACCCGAGUAGUCC